AGAGUUUGAUCCUGGCUCAGGACGAACGCUGGCGGCGUGCUUAACACAUGCAAGUGGAGCGACGAACCAGGCUUCGGCCUGGGGCAAAGCCGCGAACGGGUGAGUAACACGUGGGUAACCUGCCCCGAUGACCGGGACAACCCGAGGAAACUCGGGCUAAUACCGGAUGUGGUCCCAUCACACCAGUGAUGUGACUAAAGGAAGCUUCGGCCUCCGCAUUGGGAUGGGCCCGCGGCCCAUUAGCUUGUUGGUGAGGUAACGGCUCACCAAGGCCGCGAUGGGUAGCUGGUCUGAGAGGACGAUCAGCCACACUGGGACUGAGACACGGCCCAGACUCCUACGGGAGGCAGCAGCGGGGAAUCUUGCGCAAUGCGCGAAAGCGUGACGCAGCAACGCCGCGUGGGGGAAGAAGGCCUUCGGGUUGUAAACCCCUUUCAGUUGGGACGAAGCGCCGGCCGUUAACAGCGGUUCGGCGUGACGGUACCUUCACAAGAAGCCCCGGCUAACUACGUGCCAGCAGCCGCGGUAAUACGUAGGGGGCAAGCGUUGUCCGGAAUCAUUGGGCGUAAAGAGCGCGUAGGCGGUCCGGUAAGUCAGCUGUGAAAGUCGGGGGCUCAACCCCCGGAGGCCGGUUGAUACUGCCGGGCUAGAGUCCGGAAGAGGCGAGUGGAAUUCCUGGUGUAGCGGUGAAAUGCGUAGA
rnacentral:rRNA from 1 species